GGAAUAGAGGGGAAAUAGAAUGGGAUAAAGACAAUUGUCAUUAAAAAAACAAAAACAAAAAAACAUGAUUCUACUUACAUAAAUAACAGAAGUCAUCACACAUUUUCCUGAAUAGGCUACUGAAUACCCACUUCAAUCAAGUGGCGACGACAACAAGAGUGGAGCGCGCAGACUGUAUUCUAAGGACAAAAUGGGGAAAAACGUGUGUUGGUGGUCACCGGUGCUCAGGACAGGAGAGGAAGUUCGUUUAAGGCUUGCUUGAGAGUAAAAACGCACCCGACUGGAUGGGUAACCCAUGUGACCAUGUGGGUACGUCACAAAAGAUACAAUCUUUGGCUGACUGGCCCACGUGACCAAAAGGCUGCAUUGGGAGGGAUGCAGAAACAACUCUGUGCCCUGAGUUACUUCCAAGGCUACAGUAUAGCCACUAUUCCAGUCUGAGCGUCGCAUCGCAAUCGAUUGGGAGAGAGGCGCAUAGUUGUUCACCCCGCGCUCCGUCCCAGCAAACAUUGAUCCAUGGGCCGGCCUCGGAUGCUAGUGGACCUCCACUUUGAGAAGCCGCAUCCCGGCCGCUGGCAGCUGCAACCGGAAAGCCCCACGAGCCUGCCUUGCGCAGGCCACCGCCACCACCACUCCCCCUCGAGGAGAUGAUCCGCCGAAUUAUUGAACCAUUUUGUAACAGCAGCACUCUUUAGUGGUAUACUAGUGAGUGUUUAGCUCAAGAUGAAGGUUGUCGGUGAAAGAACAUCACACGGAGAGUAACAAUUCCGACUCCCAAUAACAACAUAUCUGUUAAAUAUAUUAUAGAAGUUAUCAUUUAUUUGCUUAGCUUGCAUUAGUAUAAUGGACAAUUUUAGAUGUUUCGCCUUCAAAAAGAAGACUCAGCAUCAUCCGAUGGAAGGGCGCCUGGACCAAGGACGUGAUCGGAUGUGGUCGGGUCGUGACAGGUGUUGGUCCAAUAUUAUGUGUUGUGUCUUAUUGCUUAGAAUACUAUGUCUGGGAAAAACCCUCUUAUUAUCAAAUAUUUUGUGUUGUGUCUUAUUACUUAGAACAUUAUGAUUUGUAAAUCCCUCCUAUUUCAAAUAAAUGCAGGAGCGAGGGGGGGGGGGAUUGUUUAGAGCGUGUUGAGAGACUGUGAUCUGAACAAUCUCCCAUACGCCCUCCUCAUGAGAAAAAGAAACCAGCGUCUUCAUUCCUUUUGUGUCUAUUAUAAUGUUGGGUAAGAUAAAUCUAACAAUAUCCCUCAGCCAAUACAUCACAGUAGUCCCAAAAAUGAAAUAAUGAGGGAGCUCCACUCCAUACAAAUACAUAUAUCAAUGCAAAAAUAAAUCUGAUAGACUUCCCUAUCCCUGCGACUGCCUGGUAACCAGUUCAGGGUGUACCUUGCCUCCUGCCCGAUGAUAG